AACGAACGCUGGCGGCAUGCCUAACACAUGCAAGUCGAACGAGACCUUCGGGUCUAGCUUCGCUACUGUGCUUAACGCGGGGGAACCUACCCUUAGGUGCGGUAUAACUCCCCUAAAGGGGUGCUAGUACCGGUUAAUGUCUUCGGACCAAGGAUUUAUCCGCUUUGGAUGUGCUCGCGUUGGUUUACCUAGUUGGUUGGGUAAAAGCCUACUAAGGUUACGGUCCAUAGGUUGUCUGAGAGGAUGAUCAGCCACACUGAGACUGAGACAGGGCUGAGACUUCUGCGGGAGGGAGCAGUGGGAAAUAGUAGAAAAUGCGGAAAAGUCUGAUCGAGAAAUGCCGUGGGAGAGAAGAAGGUUUUAGGGUUGUAAAGCUCUCUUAAACGGGAUGAUAAUGACAGUACCGGGAGAAUAAGCUCCGGCUAACUCCGUG
rnacentral:rRNA from 1 species